rnacentral:rRNA from 1 species
GAUGAACGCUGGCGGCGUGCCUAAUACAUGCAAGUCGAGCGAACGGACGAGAAGCUUGCUUCUCUGAUGUUAGCGGCGGACGGGUGAGUAACACGUGGAUAACCUACCUAUAAGACUGGGAUAACUUCGGGAAACCGGAGCUAAUACCGGAUAAUAUUUUUAACCGCAUGUUUCAAAAGUGAAAGACGGUCUUGCUGUCACUUAUAGAUGGAUACGCGCUGCAUUAGCUAGUUGGUAAGGUAACGGCUUACCAAGGCAACGAUGCAUAGCCGACCUGAGAGGGGGAUCGGCCACACUGGAACUGAGACACGGUCCAGACUCCUACGGGGGGCAGCAGUAGGGAAUCUUCCGCAAUGGGCGAAAGCCUGACGGAGCAACGCCGCGUGAGUGAUGAAGGUCUUCGGAUCGUAAAACUCUGUUAUUAGGGAAGAACAUAUGUGUAAGUAACUGUGCACAUCUUGACGGUACCUAAUCAGAAAGCCACGGCUAACUACGUG